GAUGAACGCUAGCGGCAGGCUUAACACAUGCAAGUCGAGGGGUAACAUUGUGCUUGCACAGAUGACGACCGGCGCACGGGUGCGUAACGCGUAUGCAACCUACCUUCUACAGGGGGAUAGCCCAGAGAAAUUUGGAUUAAUACCUCAUGGUAUUAUUGAUAGGCAUCUAUUAAUAAUUAAAGGUUACGGCAAAAGAUGAGUAUGCGUCCCAUUAGCUAGUUGGUGAAGUAACGGUUCACCAAGGCAACGAUGGGUAGGGGUCCAGAGAGGGAGAUCCCCCACACUGGUACUGAGACACGGACCAG
rnacentral:rRNA from 1 species